rnacentral:ncRNA from 1 species
GAGAGCACAGUACGAUGAAAGUUGUAAACUGUGUUCGGGGGGGGGGGGGGGGGGGGGGGGGGAAUUAUUUUCCAUCGUUGGCCUCUAUGGUAGAAUUAGUCGGGGACCUGAGAGGCUGUGGUUUACCCUGC